ensembl:ncRNA B0350.67 ncRNA
UUUCUCAGGAUCCCCCCUUCGGUAGAAAUGGGAAACAGAGGGGGCCAACGAGCUCCGGGUGAAAGUGGGCGUGGUUUUGAGAGAAACCCUAAGUUCUCCUCGAAUUAUCCACUAUUUCGUGAGUUGGGACCCUUGGGGGCCUCCUACCCCUUCUCGCCCAACGCCCGUACACACUUGCCAUUGGGUAGAAGCAGAAGAAGAAGCAGAAGAAGAAGAAGCAAAAGCUCUUUUUCUCU